rfam:Sphingomonas sp. 67-36 SCNpilot_cont_300_bf_scaffold_261, whole genome shotgun sequence.
UGCCCCGUCGUCUAACGGCAAGACUACGGACUCUGACUCCGUCAAUCGUGGUUCGAAUCCACGCGGGGCAU